AGUCAUAUGCUUGUCUCAAAGAUUAAGCCAUGCAUGUCUAAGUAUAAACAACUUUGUACUGUGAAACUGCGAAUGGCUCAUUACAACAGUUAUAGUUUAUUUGAUAGUUUUUACUACUUGGAUAACCGUGGUAAUUCUAGAGCUAAUACAUGCGUCAAACACCCGCAUCGAGGGUGGUAUUUAUUAGAUUCAAAACCAAUGCAGGGGGCAACCCCUGGUUCCUUGGUGAGUCAUAAUAACUGCGCGAAUCGAAGUGGCCUUGUGCCGACGAUGAUUCAUUCAAAUUUCUGCCCUAUCAACUUUCGAUGGUAGGAUAGAGGCCUACCAUGGUGAUAACGGGUAACGGAGAAUUAGGGUUCGAUUCCGGAGAGGGAGCCUGAGAGAUGGCUACCACUUCUAAGGAGGGCAGCAGGCGCGCAAAUUACCCAAUCGGAAAGCCCGGAGGUAGUGACCAAAAAAUAACAAUACAGGUCUUGCAAAAGCAUUGCCAUUGGAAUGAGUACAACUUAAACCCCUUAACGAGUAGCAAUUGGAGGGCAAGUCUGGUGCCAGCAGCCGCGGUAAUUCCAGCUCCAAUAGCGUAUAUUAAAGUUGUUGCAGUUAAAAAGCUCGUAGUUGGACUUUGUGGUGGGGUGUGUUUUCGGGCCUGCCCCAGCAAUGGGUGUGUGCCCGCGCCCCCACCCUCUCCUACUGGAUGCUCGCCCCUGCUCUUAACUGAGUGGGUGGUAUUCACGCCCCUCGGGGCCGUGUUUCGCCCAGCGUGCCGAGGUGCAGUGUGCCCUGGUCGGUGUGCGGCGGCAACGUCGUGCGGCGGUCAGGCUGCUGUUCACUUGGGCGUUGGUGUCGGAGCUCCAGUUCGUUUACUGUGAGUAAAUUAGAGUGUUCAAAGCAGGUCAGAUUGACCUUGAAUACAUUCGGCAUGGGAUAAUAGAAUAGGCUUAUGGUUCUAUUUUGUUGGUUUCUAGGACCGUUUGAAUGAUUAACAGGAACAGUUGGGGGCAUUUGUAUUCCGUUGUCAGAGGUGAAAUUCUUGGAUUUACGGAAGACAAACUUCUGCGAAAGCAUCUGCCAAGGAUGUUUUCAUUAAUCAAGAACGAAAGUUAGGGGAUCGAAGAUGAUCAGAUACCGUCGUAGUCUUAAACCAUAAACUAUGCCGACCAGGGAUUGCGCAGUGUUACUUUUAUGUCCUGCGCAGCACCUUGUGAGAAAUCACAAGUUUUUGGGUUCCGGGGGGAGUAUGGUCGCAAGGCUGAAACUUAAAGGAAUUGACGGAAGGGCACCACCAGGAGUGGAGCUUGCGGCUUAAUUUGACCCAACACGGGGAAACUUUCCAGGUCAGGACACAGUUAGGAUUGACAGAUUGAGAGCUCUUUCUUGAUUCUGUGGUUGGUGGUGCAUGGCCGUUCUUAGUUGGUGGGGUGACUUGUCUGGUUAAUUCCGUUAACGAACGAGACCUCAGCCUACUAAAUAGUUAUGCGAAUUCUCUCAUUAAACCGGAGGCUGGCGGUCGGGAGUCCCGCGGGGUCUUUGGGCCUCGAUCCGUCCGGCCCCGGGAUGGAAUUCGUAGUUAACUUCUUAGAGGGACUAAUCGCGUCUAGCGAUUGGAAGUUUGAGGCAAUAACAGGUCUGUGAUGCCCUUAGAUGUCCUGGGCUGCACGCGCGCUACACUGAUUGCAUCAACGAGUUCCACCUUGGCCGCGAUAGGUCUGGGUAAUCUUUUGAAAUGCAAUCGUGCUGGGGAUAGAUGAUUGUAAUUAUUCAUCUUCAACGAGGAAUUCCUAGUAGGCGUCAUUCAUCAGAUGGCGCCGAUUACGUCCCUGCCCUUUGUACACACCGCCCGUCGCUCCUACCGAUUGAAUGAUCCGGUGAAAUCCUCGGAUUGUGGCCCAUGGCCUGUGGGUUCGCUUGCAGGUCGGGCUGUGAGAAGUUGCUUAAACCUUAUCAUUUAGAGGAAGGAGAAGUCGUAACAAGGUUUCC
rnacentral:rRNA from 1 species